rnacentral:rRNA from 1 species
UGGUCAAGCGAAGGAAGGCAUGUGGGGGAUGCCUGGGCACACGGAGGCGAGGAAGGCCGUGGUAAGCUGCGAGAAGCUCGGGGGAGUGGCACACACGCGGUGAUCCCGAGAUGGCCGAAUGGGGCAACCCGGCUGGCGGCGACGCCAGUCAUCACUUCUUCGGAAGUGAAGCGAACCCAGGGAACUGAAACAUCUCAGUACCUGGAGGAAGAGAAAUCAACCGAGAUGUCCGGAGUAGCGGCGAGCGAAACGGACCCAAGCCCAAACCGUGCUCCUUGUGGGUGCGGGGUUGUAGGACCUGCGGACGCGGCACAGCAGGCUACGUGAACUCCCCUGGAACGGGGGGCCAGAGACGGUGAGAGCCCGGUAGCGGAAAGCGAGCCUGUGUCGUAGCAGUGUUCCUGAGUAGCGCCCGGAACGAGAAACCGGGCGCGAAGCUGGGGGGACCACCCUCCAAGGCUAAAGACUCCCGUGUGACCGAUAGUGGACGAGUACCGUGAGGGACAGGUGAAAAGCACCC